rnacentral:rRNA from 1 species
AAUGAACGCUGGCGGCGUGCCUAAUACAUGCAAGUCGAGCGAACAGACGACGAGCUUGCUCCUCUGACGUUAGCGGCGGACGGGUGAGUAACACGUGGAUACCCUACCUAUAAGACUCGGCUAACAUCGGGAACCCAUAGCUAAUACCAGCUAAUAUAUUGAACCGGAUGGUUCAAUAGUGCAAGACGUUUUUGCUGCCACUGUCAGAUGAGUUAGCUGGGCAGGUAACGGCUGACCAAGGCAACGAUCCGUAGCUGACCUGAGAGGACGAUCCGCCACACUGGAACUGAGACACGGUCCAGACUCCUACGGGAGGCAGCAGUAGGGAAUCUUCCACAAUGGGCGAAAGCCUGACGCAGCAAUGCCGCGUGAGUGAUGAAGGUCUUCGGAUCGUAAAACGCUGUUAUUAGGAAAGAACAAACUUGUAAGUAACUACGCACGUCUUGACGGUACCGAAACAGAAAGCCACGGCUAACUACGUG